GUGCCAGCCGCCGCGGUAAGACGAACCGAGCGAACGUUGUUCGGAAUCACUGGGCUUAAAGGGCGCGUAGGCGGGUGCUCAAGUCUGUGGUGAAAUCCUCCAGCUUAACUGGAGAACUGCCAUGGAUACUGGGUGUCUCGAGGAAGAUAGGGGUAUGCGGAACGAUUGGUGGAGCGGUGAAAUGCGUUGAUAUCAAUCGGAACUCCGGUGGCGAAGGCGGCAUACUGGAUCUUUUCUGACGCUGAGGCGCGAAAGCCAGGGGAGCAAACGGGAUUAGAAACCCCUGUAGUCC
rnacentral:rRNA from 1 species